rnacentral:lncRNA from 1 species
CGCGCCUCUGCCGGGCCGGGCUCAGCAGCGCGGCGAUCUCCCAAGAGGGCUGCUCCCGCCGAGAGUGUCCGUGUGCCUCCCUUCCAGGCAUCGGGGCUGAGGAUGGGGAGAAUCCUGGGGGCCCAGGAGACCGUGCCCUGCCUGAACGCUCAGCCCGAAGGCUGGAAGAACCUGCCCUGAACGAGCCCCCUGCAGCUGCCUGGUGACUCCUCCUUCUUUGAACCUUCUCCGUGUGAGCGGUAC